GACCUUAUUUCAAAACAGAGGGAAAUACUUGGUGUACAGGGAUCCUAGCUCUCUUCCGACAAGACUUCAACAAUGAAUUUACAGGCCCUCUGUCCAACCAGAGCCACUCCCUUCUGUCCAUGCCCAUGGGCUGGCUACCACAUGUUUAUUCAAGUAGAGCAUAGUAGUGUAAACAAUUAGAAGACAAUCAGCAGAUUGGAAAAACAUAGAAGACCAUUGGCUUAGUUCACUGGAUUUUUUUAUGCCUACAAACCUAUGGCUG
ensembl:lncRNA